UAGGGAAUAUUGCACAAUGGGCGAAAGCCUGAUGCAGCGACGCCGCGUGAGUGAUGAAGGCCUUCGGGUUGUAAAACUCUGUGAUAAGGGAAGAUAAUGACGGUACCUUAUCAGAAAGGACCGGCUAACUUCGUGCCAGCAGCCGCGGUAAUACGAGGGGUCCAAGCGUUGUUCGGAAUCACUGGGCGUAAAGCGGGUGUAGGUGGCUCUAUAAGUCACAUGUGAAAGCCCCGGGCUCAACCCGGGAAGUGCAUGUGAUACUGCAGAGCUUGAGUAAGGGAGAGGAUGGCAGAAUUCCUGGUGUAGUGGUGAAAUACGUAGAUAUCAGGAGGAACUCCGGUGGCGAAGGCGGCCAUCUGGCCCAUUACUGACACUCAGACCCGAAAGCGUGGGUAGCAAACAG
rnacentral:rRNA from 1 species